GCAUGAUUGCCUGACCAGCAUCAGAUGCUGCUGGCUUCUUGUCCAAACAAGAGGGCCCCCGGGGUCCCAUGAGGCCAGGGAAGGGGGGUGGAUGGGAAGGAGGUGGGUCCCAGCCAUCUCAUUUCUAGCCUCUCUCCAGGGGUUCUGGAGGAUCUUAGGGCCUGCUGGGAUUUCUGCAUCAAUAUUUACCAGGGAUAUUGGUUUAGUUCUCUAUACUAUCUCUGUCUGAUUUGGAUUUAACAACAUAACAUGGACCUCAUGGAAUGGGUUUGGAAGUGUCCUCUCCUCUUGAACUCUCUGGAAGAGUUUAAGAAGGAUUGGUGUUAAUUUUCAGAUGCUUGGUAGAAUUCACCACUGAAGCCACCUGGUCCUGGGCUUUUCUCUGUUGGGAUGUUGGAUUAAUGAUUCAACCUCCUUAUUCAUUGGAAGUCUGAUUUUCUAUUUCUUCCUGAUUCAGUCUUGUUCUCUGACCAGGGAUCAAACCCAUGUCCUCUGCACUGGAACCUCAGAGUCUUAUCCACUGGACCACCAGGGAAGUCCCCAUCCUCGUGUGUUAAGGAGGGGAGAGGCUCCCUGGAUGAGGACUCACUGGAGACAGAGACAGUGUCUGAUUCAGGGAGACCCGGUAACAACGUCCCUUGAACCCCAGGACCUGCCGACUGGAAUCUGGCCCCCACCUGCCCCUGCAGCUUCAGUCAUCAUAAUUGAGUCCCUGGCAGCUGUGCCCAGAUGCAGCUUCUACAAACAGGAAUUUGCCCCAAAUUUGCUCUGAGCAUCUCCCCUGGAUCAAGCCCAAGAUCCCUGAGGCUGGUCAGGGCAGCACAUAACUCAGUGACCUCUGCUCACUGUCUCUGCUGGUGACAACGGAAGAUGCAGAGGGGAAAGAAGGAGAACUUACUCCUGCAUUCAUUUGUUCAUUUAUUCAACACAUUUUUGUUGAGUCCCUACUUUAUGUUAGACAGUUUUAUUCUCUGGAACGCAAUCUUGAAUAAAACAGACCGAACUCUCAGCCCUCAUGGAGAAUAUAUUCAAAAGGUGAAACAGACAUUUAUUAGAUAAAAUAUACAAGGUCGGCUGGUGAUUGGCACCCUGGGGAAGGAUGAAGGAGCAGGGGGCACGGC
ensembl:lncRNA